rnacentral:rRNA from 1 species
GAUGAACGCUGGCGGCGUGCUUAACACAUGCAAGUCGAACGAACCUUCGGGUUAGUGGCGGACGGGUGAGUAACGCGUGAGAAUCUGCCCUCAGGAGGGGGACAACAGCUGGAAACGGCUGCUAAUACCCCAUAUGCCGCGAGGUGAAAUGAAUUUCGCCUGAGGAUGAGCUCGCGUCUGAUUAGCUAGUUGGUGUAGGUAAUGGCUCACCAAGGCAUCGAUCAGUAGCUGGUCUGAGAGGAUGAUCAGCCACACUGGGACUGAGACACGGCCCAGACUCCUACGGGAGGCAGCAGUGGGGAAUUUUCCGCAAUGGGCGAAAGCCUGACGGAGCAACGCCGCGUGAGGGAUGAAGGCCUCUGGGCUGUAAACCUCUUUUAUCAAGGAAGAAGAUCUGACGGUACUUGAUGAAUAAGCCACGGCUAAUUCCGUGCCAAAG